GAUAAAGCAGGGGAUUGAUUCAAUAUCAACCUUGCGCUUUUAGAUGAUUCCAUGCCGGAUUAGCUAGUUGGUAGAGUAAUAGCCUACCAAGGUAACGAUCCGUAGCUGGUCUGAGAGGAUGAUCAGCCACACUGGGACUGAGAUACGGCCCUGACUCCUACGGGAGGCAGCAGUGGGGAAUAUUGGACAAUGGGGGAAACCCUGAUCCAGUCAUGCCGCGUGUGUGAAGAAGGCCUUUGGGUUGUAAAGCACUUUCAGUGAGGAAGAAAAAUUAUAAAAAAAAAAGUUAUAAAUAUGACGGUACUCGCAGAAGAAGCACCGGCUAACUCCGUGCCAGCAGCCGCGGUAAAACGGAGGGUGCAAGCGUUAAUCGGAAUUACUGGGCGUAAAGGGCAUGUAGGUGGUUAGUUAAGCCUUAUGUGAAAGCCCUAUGCUUAACAUAGGAACUGGAUAAGGAACUGACAAACUAGAGUGCAGAAGAGGAAGGUAGAAUUCCAGGUGUAGCGGUGAAAUGCGUAGAUAUCUGGAGGAAUACCAGUGGCGAAGGCGACCUUCUGGGCUGACACUGACACUGAGAUGCGAAAGCGUGGGGAGCAAACAGGAUUAGAUACCCUGGUAGUCCACGCUGUAAACGAUAUCAACUAGCCGUUUGAUUCUUAAGAAUUUGGUGGCGUAGCUAACGCGAUAAGUUGAUCGCCUGGGGAGUACGGUCGCAAGGCUAAAACUCAAAUGAAUUGACGGGGGCCCGCACAAGCGGUGGAGCAUGUGGUUUAAUUCGAUGCAACGCGCAGAACCUUACCUACUCUUGACAUCCAAAGUACUUUUCAGAGAUGGAAGGGUGCCUUAGGGAACUUUGAGACAGGUGCUGCAUGGCUGUCGUCAGCUCGUGUUGUGAAAUGUUGGGUUAAGUCCCGUAACGAGCGCAACCCUUGUCCUUAGUUGCCAACGCUUAAGGCGGGAACUUUAAGGAGACUGCUGGUGAUAAACCGGAGGAAGGUGGGGACGACGUCAAGUCAUCAUGGCCCUAAGAGUAGG
rnacentral:rRNA from 1 species